rnacentral:lncRNA from 1 species
GAAUCACAGGGAGGGAGUCCCUAUCCAGCUCUUGGUUCUCAACCAUUAAGCUCUGGCAUCAUGCUGCACACCGAAGUCCAAGUGUUUUCUCGCUCAUCCCCUUCAUCUGAGAUUCAGCAGUUAUCAUCAACUAAUCCACCUGAGCCUGAAGAAAAUGAGGAGAAGAGAGUGAGUUCAGGCCUGGUGGCCGCUGGAGGCUCACUCAGCGGCGAUCUCGCUCAUCUCCUUCGUCUGAGAUUCAGCAGUUAUCAUCAACUAAUCCACCCAAGCCUGAAGAAAAUGAGGAGAAGAGAGUGAGUUCUGGCCCGGUGGCUGCUGGGGGCUCACUCAGCGGCGAUACUGAGGCAGCUGUUGCUCGUGAUGCUUUUGAAGGAAUGAUAGAAACAUUAUCACGGACCAAAGA